CUGCAAACCAAGUGACCGUUAACAGUCAGGCUGAGCCUUAACAUGGUCAGCAUGGAUCUUCAUGACAGAGAAAGGAAAAGGUUGGAUUGGGGGGGUGGGGAGCAGAGUUAGUUUUCAGCGGAUAUAGCAGAUAAAGCGUUGGACUACAGCUCAGGAGACCUGGGUUCAGAUCCCUCCUUGGCCUUCAAAACUUUCUGGAGAAUAGCAAUGGUAAACCACUCCUGGAAAAUCUUAUCUACUUCACAAAUCCUAUCAGGGUCACCAGAAGUUGGAAAUGCCUUGCCAUAAAAGGACAAUAAAAUUGAUCUUUUAAGAGUGGGGAAGGAUUAGAAGGAUUUACAGAGAAGGUUUUCCUAAUAUUUUCCUGCCUAUUUUGUGUGCUUCACAGAGCGCAUUUCCCUCAGAGCUUUUUUGGACCACAUCUCCCAGAAACCUUGGGUCAGGAUGGCCAGUGGCCAUACCAUCUGGGAAUUCUGAGAAAUGGAAAUAGUCAUGAGGAAUGCCAGACAACGGGAGAUGCAAGUUCUUGAACACGGAGUCAGUCAUUCAGGAGGAACGAGAUGAUAUACAGUAUAUGUUACCACAGCCAAGAAAGAAGGACAAUGAAGAAUAUCUAAGGUCGUGUGGCAAUCUGAAAAAGUCAAGGACUAUGUGAAGAAAACCAUGCUGAGAACCUCAGUAAGGAACCUACUUUCUACAAUUAAUGGGCAGCCAUGUUAGUUUCUGAAAGGUGAUGAGGGUGUGAAUUGUAGAUUGAGUAAAGCCAUUCCUGCAAAAUAUUCAAGCACAGCUUUGUUUGGGAGAGGACCUCUUCACUCCAGGGUAUAGAAGGAGUUGGGGUGUUAAUUUCAUUCCCACAUCCUUUUCUCAAUGGCUGAAUAUUUUGUUUGGACCCUUAGCUCUUUUUAAAAUUGGUCGUUUUGGCAAGGAGCUGUGUCGGAGAGGACAUUCUGUCUCUCACACAUACCUUUCAUAGGGACAAUCCACAAGAUACAUGGCUGUGUGCCGUUUUGAAUAAAUCCAUGGAUGGUGUGAAGAAGCCCACACUAAGACCCAAAGUGAGGAACCUGCUGUAAACAACUAAUGUGCAGCCAUGCUAGUUUCUGAAAGGUGAUGAGGGUGUAAGAAGCAGGCAUCAUGUCCAGAGUCAGAACUAGGACUCGAGAGACCUUGGUUCAAAUCCCUGAGUGACCAGAGAAACUUCCUGGAGGUGUGGCACUGGGAAAGCCCCUCCUUCAAGAGCUCACAUACCUUGAAAAAUCUAUUUGGCUCACUAUAAGUUAGAUAAGAUAACACAUGAAAUGCACAGACUUUAUAAAAAGAUAAAUAUAUUCCACAGAUAUCAUUUAGUAAUCCAUAACAGAAAGAGCCAUCUAUUUUCA